rnacentral:rRNA from 1 species
AAGGGUGCGUAGGCGGCCUGAUAAGUCCGGGGUGAAAGCCCGUUGCUCAACAACGGAACUGCCCUGGAUACUGUGAGGCUUGAGUACAGACGAGGUUGGCGGAAUGGACGGAGUAGCGGUGAAAUGCAUAGAUACCGUCCAGAACCCCCGAUUGCGAAGGCAGCUGACUAGGCUGUUACUGACGCUGAGGCACGACAGCGUGGGGAGCGAACAGGAUUAGAUACCCUUGU